rnacentral:rRNA from 1 species
UGAGUAACCUGCCCUUAACUCUGGGAUAAGCCUGGGAAACUGGGUCUAAUACCGGAUAUGACUCCUCAUCGCAUGGUGGGGGGUGGAAAGCUUUUUUGUGGUUUUGGAUGGACUCGCGGCCUAUCAGCUUGUUGGUGAGGUAAUGGCUCACCAGGGCGACGACGGGUAGCUGGUCUGAGAGGAUGAUCAGCCACAUUGGGACUGAGACACGGCCCAGACUCCUACGGGAGCAG